UACUGAAGUUACCCACAAUCUUUUGAAGUGCUAAGGGUAGAAAGGGACUCUAAAGGCCAGGCCAAAGACUUCUAGAAAUGAAACUAAGCAUAGCUUUUGAAAGAGUGACACUGUGUUUCCCUGGGCGCAGGUAAGGAAGAGCCAUAAGCUAAGUGCUGUCAGUUCAAUAUUCCAUAAACACUAAUGAGAACCAAGGUCUGUAAAGAGAGAACCUUUUGAAAUUGAAUAGAUGACCAAAGGAAGGAUCAUUGUCUAUAGACCAUGGGUUCCUGGAAGACAGAAACCACUUGUUUGAUACAUCGUAGCUCUAUCAGCACAUGGAAGAAACUGGUUUUCCUCUCAAACUAAUACAUGCGAUUAUUAAAGGUAAAAACAUAAAAAAAUCAAAUAAAAAA